rnacentral:lncRNA from 1 species
UUUCCAUUUUCUUCCAAUGUGAGAGCUUCAAGCUCAUAAAUUAUCAAUCAAUACCACAAUUUUCAUUUCAUAUGGUAGAAGUUCUUUAUUGUUGAUUAAGUUUACAAUGUUAAGCAACUGACAUAGAGAAGAUGCCCAAGAAAAUUGCAGUACAAUUAUGAUUUUGAAUAAUGAUUGGACAAGUUAAGAAAAUGUUAUUGUUGAAUAAUGUUAUCACCUUUUUCUAAAUUUUCUCCCAUAAACAUGUACUUACUCAUGUGACGUAGGACAAAAAAUUGGACAAGUUUUGGCCUCAAAAUGAUGAAGUAUAUGUUUGGUGAAU